UACGAAGGGGGCUAGCGUUGUUCGGAAUCACUGGGCGUAAAGGGCGCGUAGGCGGCUUUAUAAGUCGGGGGUGAAAGCCUGUGGCUCAACCACAGAAUUGCCUUCGAUACUGUAGAGCUUGAGACCGGAAGAGGUAAGUGGAACUGCGAGUGUAGAGGUGAAAUUCGUAGAUAUUCGCAAGAACACCGAUAGCGAAGGCAGCUUACUAAAGAGUAACUGACGCUGAGGCACGAAAGUGUGGGGAUCAAACAGG
rnacentral:rRNA from 1 species